UUUACUAAGAGAGCAACACGUGUCUUCUUCAUUAUAAAUCAUCCGAUUUGUUACGUUUGUUUUGGGUUUUCACCGUUAUUUUGUGGGCUUUGCAUAACUUCAUCUGGGCAUAAACAAAUUAAACCUUGUCCACCUUAAAUAUUUCAACGUGGAGCCGCCGUUCAAAUUUAGGGUUCAUCUUCUCCUGCAAAUUCCUAUUACGAUCAACCAAAAAUAGAUGUUCUGAAAGGUUAUAAGAGACGUGUAUUCAUGAGUAAUCUUUGCGUCCUUUCCGGUUUUAUGUCGUUUCGUUUGCGGUUCUUCUCCCCUCCUCGAAGGCGUUACAAGUUGCAUUGAUUUGACGCUAUUCAAUGAUUCUUAUCUUUCUUACAGGCAGUGGAUCUCAACUAUAAAAAUAGGCUGGAGGUGUUGCGAACCCAGAUGAUAUUCAGCUCCCCUGUUUAUUACCGACAUUGUUAGCAAGACAUACACAUUCCAGCUCAGCCUGACCAGUUUCAGUUAUACUGCGAAGCAAUCAAACUUUCACAAUCUCACGCAUCUUCGACGAGCGUCAGCGUCUUCGACUCUCUGACUUUGUUGUCGAUGUAAUUUUGUAACUACAUUGGAUACGGCUCUUCUGUAUGUUAAAGUAACAUUGUGCGUCUUGGUUUUAUCAGAGCGGCAACGGUGGUCCAGUGGUCCAGGAGAUGAUUUGAACGGUGGAAGCUUUGAGUUUAGUCUAAAAAUGUAUGUCUUUAUUACAUUUUGGAGCAUUGCCAUUUAUUCCAUUUGCAGGCAAUGUUGAUGCUAUUUAGAAAAAUACAUGUUUUACUUCCUACUAACCAUUUUGAAACUUCAUGGAGAACAUAUUUCAGGCUUACCCUAUUGCCAAUAUAAUUGUGCUUCUGUGA